GGCUGAAAUCCGUACAUUAGGUCUUGGAGCCAUUCACUCAGCACGGAGAAACUAUCCCCCAGAUAAAGGAGCUCAUAUAGCUAUUAGAACUGUUAGACGUUUCUUAGAAAAAUUUCCAGAAUCAUUUGAUCUUAUUAUAUUUGUUUGUAGUCAUCAAGAAAUAUUUGAUAUUUAUUCCAAAAUCCUUCCUUUAUACUUCCCUCGUGAUUCUAGCGAAGAGGAGUAUGCCUUUGAUAACUUGCCCAGUGACAUUGGUAAUGAAGAUGGAGAGCCUGUGAUUAAAGAGAGACAAAUCCGAAUCAUUGAUAAACCAACAUUUGCUGCUUUAAGUAGGUCUAUAGUUUUGUUUGUUCACACA
rnacentral:sRNA from 1 species